UACAGAGGUCUCAAGCGUUGUUCGGAUUCAUUGGGCGUAAAGGGUGCGUAGGUGGCGCUGUAAGUCAGGUGUGAAAUUUCGGAGCUUAACUCCGAAACUGCAUUUGAUACUGCGGUGCUUGAGGACUGGAGAGGAGACGUGGAAUUCGACGGUGAGCAGUGAAAUGCGUAGAUAUCGAUGAGGAAGACCAGUGGCGAAGGC
rnacentral:rRNA from 1 species